GGCAGAACUAUUGCGGUAUCCAGACGGCAAAUGUAGAAGAGAAAUAUAAAAAUAAUAAGAAUAAAGCGUAGCCUGUGGUUGCUACUCAGAGAAAGCAACGCGCAUGCGCAGGGUGCUCAAGGGAAGGCAGGGAGGGCGGGGCCCGGGUUGAGCGCCCGCAAACGUCGCCUCAGGGGGGCGACCAUAAAUUCCUCCACUAGUGGUGAGCUGCUCGGAGGCCAGAGCGGUCUGGAGGGAGGAGAACUCGGCUUCAGACAAAAGGUGAAAUCGAGGCAGCUCCCGGAGGGGCAGGCUGACGAUCAAAGCUGGAUAAAAAAGAGAACUCCGGUUUUUAGAAGUGCCGUGCACUUUAUCGACGGUCCCUUAUAUCCUUCUUUUUCCUGCGCUGUCUCUUUCGUACGCGAAGCUUCCUCCCUGCCGGCCACUGCGGCUUCCGUAGCCCCGUGGUAACCAUGGAGACCGCCGGCCGCGCUUCCCCGCCGGUUGCUAAGAGACGCGAGAGCUCGGAAAAGAGCGGCAGUGCUCCCGCGUGGCUCAAAAGAUGUCUUCGAAGAAUCUCAAUUACUUUCCCCACUUCAUAAAGGCGGAUUAUAGCCCAUGGCAACGAGACCACUCAGAAAAGAAGACGGCCGCGUUCAAGGUUUUGUUGCCAUCUGUCAAAAAGAAGGAAACCGCGAAGCCUUCCCCAUCUAAGCCCAAAGACAAACCUUCAGGGAAGAAUUCCACGUCAGCUUCCUCUUCAAAACAUCCGGGUCCCAGGAGGGAGAAGACUGGUCAACACAGAAGUGAAAUUGUGCUCACAAAGGCCAUGAUUAACAUCAGAAUCCUGCAG